ensembl:lncRNA
AAAAAAAUGUGAAUAUAAUAUACAGGCCUGUGGAUUGAGUUUUAUGAAAAGAAAAAAAUAAAGGAGGGGAAUUUUUCUUAGCUCUUUUUCUAAGUCCAUUGCAGUAGAAAUAAUGGGACAAGUGGUUUACCAAAAGUAAACAGUUUUACUAUUUUUAAUGACACUGAGAGGAUAGCUUUAAAAUGUCUCUCCUAAUUUUGCCCUAUAAUUGGAUCAUUUAAAUUUGACUCCCUGAUAAAUAGAAUCAUACUUUUUCUCAUGAUUUGCUAUGCUAAAGAGUUUGUAUUUAUUAAAGACAUGCAGAUCCAGAUAUUCCCACCACAUCUUUCUGGCUUGACUUUAGUUCCUAAUAAAGUGUAAUAUCAGAGCUCUGCCCCAUAGCUAAGAAACAUUAAGUUCCUGGAGGAAACAGGAUUCUUCUGGUUGUUUUUUAAACCCACUAACAUUGCUGAAUCUUGUCCUUCUGGUUUCAGAAAAUAUAAGUAAAAGAUGGGAACAUGCGUUCCUCCUUUGCCCAGUUCUGUCUCCCAGGUUUGUCUAUUUCAGUGUGAAGAGUCAUCCUUAAAUGGACAAACUCCAGUGUUUUAAUUUCUCUCCAUUUUCUGCUGAGAGAACUUUUAAAUAAUUAGCUGAGUGUGUAAAUGUUGAAUCCUGAUACUAUUUGAGCAAAAGAGCUAUGACAGAGUUCUCACAGCCAUCAGUAAAAUUCCUUCUAAUGGGAUUCUGGACCAAGGAAAUGCAAAAAUCCCUAAUAAAUGUCAGGCAGUGCUCAACUUCUAAUCCAUUGCCUACAAAACCUUAGGAAAGAAAUUCAUUUAUUGCUAGGAAUUGCUACCAUCCAAAGUUCUCAUUCAUUCUUUCCUAUUCUAUCAUUUACUUGAAACCUGGGUAAGACACGCCUUGGAGAAGGGGGCAGGGGAGAAAGAACUGCCACAGAUGGGAAACUGAGCUGCUUUACAAAUAUUCACAGCUGCCGCUUUCUGUAGCCAUGCCCCAUGUUCCACUGGACUCUCAAAAGGCAAGUUCAUAAGUUAUUUUGCCAUAAAAGGGAAUCAGCGCUUAAAUCCAGCUUCCCAAAGACCUCGGACACGAAAUUACCACAGCACUCCCUAAGGUCCAGAGCACAGAUUUUGCUCUCCUCCCACAUGCCUAUCCCUAAGAAAAGAGUUUUCCCACUAGAUAAAGUAAUUAAAAGCAUUCUCAGAAUAGAAAACAAUACAUUUGUGGCUUGAACAUGAGCCUAUUUUCAGAAAUACUCAAUUUAUUGCAUAUUUACAGUUUGAUAUUCCAACAGCUGUGAAACUCUCAUAUGAGGAAUUUAAUUGCUUAUAAGAAGAAAUAAAGCAUACAGGAGUAGUUGUGUGUGUGUGUGUGCUUGUGUGUGCCCAAGUUGUUGUUCUGCCUACCUCUGAUUUGUUAACUAACUUCAGGGAGAAUUCCUAAAAGACCUGAUACACCAGCCCAUGUGAAGUCACUGGUUAUCUCUAAAUGGGAACCACGAUUUUUAAAUCCUGUCUAGGUAAAUUACCUUUCCAGUGCAGGGUAUUUCCUUUUAGAAGAUUCCUUGGGAAGGGCCUCUAGGGAACUGACUAACUUUUUAAUGGUUCACUCAGAUUAAGAGGAAGGAAAUGUGAACUCCUCUGGGGGGAGGCACCACUCUAGGCCGUCUGCAUCCUGUAAUUCUUCCCAAGUCCGUGAAUCAUACUUUUAAGACGCCUUUUCAAGGGCAUUUGUCUUCCUUUAAGAGAAGGCCAACGCAGAAAAGACAAGGUUUAAAAUAGGUCUCAAUCAAGCCUUAGCCAUAAAAACAAUUGCCUGAUUCUCCCCCUGUCUAUCUGGAGAAGGUCUCUGAGUGUCCUUUACCUGCACGCCUGCCUCGCUCACCUUGCACAGUACUUGACUUGGGUUGCUUUCAUACUUAUUUUGCUUUCAGAAUUAAGAUGAUUUCUAAUAUCAUCCAAGCAUCUUUAAGCUAUAAUUCUGGAUUGUGUUGUCCAUUGCAACCAGCUUCUGAGACUGAUUUCAUGUAUGCAGUAAAAAUAUAAAGAAAUGAGCUACCAUAAGAAGCCUUUUCCAAGCCCUUUUAGAUAGCAAUCUUACUUUUAAAACCAUGUCUUUAUUUAAUAAAAAUAGUUUUCUGUAGGCAAAUAUAGACUAUGUUUUUACCUUUCCCCAAAAGGUCUGAACACUUUUGAAAAUAGUUUUGGUAGUAGACAGAAGUGAACAAGGUAAAUUUCUGUACAAGAAUGAAGUAACAAUAGCAUAUUUCUAAAAUGCAAUAUCAAUUUCUAAAAGUAAUAUCGAUUGUAUUGAAUCUUUAACUGUAUCACAAUAUCAGUUUGUCAAUGAAUAAAGUAUAUUUGAUUGAUCAUCUACCAAAUGGCAGCUUGUAAUUUUUUUAAGCUACUAACAAGAGUGGAAAUGUUCUAUAAAAAUGCAAAAGGACAAAUGCAAACAACAAGGCAUACCUGUGUGAACCCUAAUGUAAGCCAGAAAUUUUGGAUCAUUAUGAAGUGCCAAUGUAGGCUCAUCAGUUGUGACAAAUAUUCCACUCUGAAUGCUCAGGGUUGGUUUCUACAGAUCUGCAAACAAUCCCUUCUUUGUGAUUCCUUAAUCUGAGUCUCCAGAAAAAUCAGCAUUUAUUUAUGUGUGCUUGUAUGUGUGCGUGUUGGGGGACCUCUAUGGCCACCAUUCCAUAUUGACCUCAAUUCACAUGUAGCAAAAUGUGAUUCAGGCUGAUGUAGAGUAUACGUAGUUUUUAUCCCCAUUUGGAGUGAGUAGUCAUACCCACUGAUGAUGGUGGGUAAUGUAUGGAUAUAUUUGUCAUAUUACUUUUCAAAAUCUUAAGAAUUCUGAAUUAUAAAACACACUUUACCCUAAGCAUUUUGAACGGGAGAUUGUGUACCAAACACGAUGAAUGAUAGAAAAUAGCAAAGGAAGAAAACAACAGAAAGGGAAAUAGUGAAGUUCUAUUUUAUCCCUUCCCUGAUUUCUUGGGAGGUUUGGUUCCUAGGUGUCCAUGUAGAGCCCCAUGAUUAUAAUGGUCACUUUUUAUUGAAAUUUACCAUCAGUAAUAAAGUGCAAAACCCUAGAAACAUAAUUAUGAUUUUUACUCACAUAUAUAUAUCUUAGAGGUUUUAUAUGAAUGCCUAUAGACCAUAUUUUGUUUCUUUAAGUCUAUUGCAAGUGAGUACCCAGAAACAUGUCUUUCCUUCCUCUUAACCACUGGUGACUAUGAUUGCAUGGUUCAUUGCUUUAGAACAAAAGGACAACAAAAAUAUUGGAAAGCCAAGUGUACAUUCAGUUUUAGCAAACUUAGUUUCAAGGAAAUAGUCCAAAUAAUAUCCUCCAGGUUUAAAUUUUUAAAUGUAAGGUUUUUUUUAAAAAACCUUACAUUUAUGCUCCUAUGAAUGUCCCUCAACAUGGUAAGGCCUUAUUAAAAUAAAGAAAUCAAGACACUUAAUUGUGUCAGUUGAAUGUUUCUGAGCCAUACUAUUGACAACAGAUAAAGAUUUAAGUGACUUUAUACCUUUGACUCUGAGAUAAGAUCCUAGAUAAGUAGUCAUUCAAACAUACAGUGUGACUACUUACAUUUAAGUU